GUGCCAGCCGCCGCGGUAAUACGUAGGGUGCAAGCGUUGUCCGGAAUUAUUGGGCGUAAAGAGCUCGUAGGCGGUCUGUCGCGUCUGCUGUGAAAACUCAGGGCUUAACCCUGAGCUUGCAGUGGGUACGGGCAGACUAGAGUGCGGUAGGGGAGACUGGAAUUCCUGGUGUAGCGGUGAAAUGCGCAGAUAUCAGGAGGAACACCGGUGGCGAAGGCGGGUCUCUGGGCCGUAACUGACGCUGAGGAGCGAAAGCAUGGGGAGCGAACAGGAUUAGAUACCCCGGUAGUCC
rnacentral:rRNA from 1 species